rnacentral:rRNA from 1 species
GACGAACGCUGGCGGCGUGCUUAACACAUGCAAGUCGAACGGAAAGGCCCUGCUUUUGUGGGGUGCUCGAGUGGCGAACGGGUGAGUAACACGUGAGUAACCUGCCCUUGACUUUGGGAUAACUUCAGGAAACUGGGGCUAAUACCGGAUAGGAGCUCCUGCUGCACGGUGGGGGUUGGAAAGUUUCGGCGGUUGGGGAUGGACUCGCGGCUUAUCAGCUUGUUGGUGGGGUAGUGGCUUACCAAGGCUUUGACGGGUAGCCGGCCUGAGAGGGUGACCGGCCACAUUGGGACUGAGAUACGGCCCAGACUCCUACGGGAGACAGCAGUGGGGAAUAUUGCACAAUGGGCGGAAGCCUGAUGCAGCAACGCCGCGUGCGGGAUGACGGCCUUCGGGUUGUAAACCGCUUUCGCCUGUGACGAAGCGUGAGUGACGGUAAUGGGUAAAGAAGCACCGGCUAACUACGUG